ensembl:lncRNA
AGUGUGGCCAUUCGCAUGUGGUAUUGCCAAGGCAGGACGUUCCUCCAAGCUUUGUUGUCCAGAGUUUUCAUUGAGGCUCCAUGACUUCGGCAUGACUGAUUGAGUGAUUGCCCAUGUGGUUGAGCUCCAUCUCCAGCCCUCCUCCCCUCCACCCACGUCAGGCUGCUGCUGUGAAGCUCAAAGCCUCUGAGCACAGGGUUGGUCUUUGUGGUCCGGGCAGGGCCAGCCCCCUCUCAGGCAGUUGGGUAACAGUUUAUAAACUAUCUCUGGGCCCCCUUUGAGGAACUUCAUUAGCAUAAACUAUUCGGGUGCGGCCCCUCAUGAAUAACAGAGACAUUCCAGUCACUCAGGAAAUUCUCCCAAGAGCGAGGACAAAGGUCAGACCUCUCUCUAGAGGCCAAAUUCCUUACUCCUCAAGCUGCCUCUCCAAUUUUUUGGAUUUAAGUUAAACCAACAUUUCUCAGCUAAGAGUUCUUGGAAUCCCACCCAGGGACAUUGCCAGGUAGGAGAGACAUUUUUGGUUGUCACAACUGUGGUGGGAGGUGGUGCGACUGUUACCAAAAUAUGAGCAGACCGAUUUUGCCCUCUCACAUGCUGUCUUGCUCCUGCAAACACAGCAACUCUGAUGAGGCUGUCCUUAUAGGUAAGGGAUAUAGGAAUCUGCCUACAAAUGUGGCGGUCAGACCAGGCCCCAAAUAUCUGAUUCUGUUCACCCAGACAUGCUUUAGGUCAGAGUAGCUCACAGGUGUGAGUACGGCUGGUAUAUACUACAUCAUUCUAGAAGCUACGUGGACAGGGCGUUAAAUAACACCGAGUCACAUAAUUAGGACGUUACUCACAUUUUACUUCUCUUUCUGUCUGAUUUUGCCAAGGAGAGUGUCUGAGUUUGGGGCUAGUGUAUCUUUAACACCUCUCUAUCGUUAGCUUCCCUCCUUGUUUUUUAUAAAGAAAGAGUGGUUUUCGACUUGGACCCUUUAUCGACAAUAUCUACGUAAAAUUUUAAAGUGUACUUCGUUUCUGUUUCUGAUAUAUUUGUGCUUACCAUCUAUUUUUGGCAAAUGAUACCAGUUAUGUUAAGUUUCCUUAUACAUAUAAUUUCUCUCAAGAAGUACAAGUUCUAAUUUAAAUGAGAGCUUUUUAUGUAAAAGUCAUUCAAUUGAAAGACAAUAUUAAGUAAAUGUGGUAGAAACUUGUGGUGCUCACUCAUAUCUGGUCCUCCCUUUGGGCAUCCAAGGGGACUCUGUCCCGUUUUCCUGCAGGUAGACAGGGCCAGGACAUUAGUCCUGGCUCAGAGGCAGGCUGAGGCAGGGAGUAGCCCGCAUGAUCUCCCCACUGUCACUCAGCCACCAUCCACCCAGAAGCCAUGUGCUGAGAGGACCGUAAGCACUUUCUGGUGGAGCCUCCCUGAGGUGGGGGCAGAGCACAUCUCCUGCCAGCCAACACUGGGCACGUGGCAUGAGCAAGAAGUAGGCAUUGUCUGCAUUAGACAAUUGACACCUCAGGAUUCGUUUGUUAUUACAACAUAGCCUAGCUCUGUUUGCAACACAGAAAUUAGUACCAGGAGUGGGGUGAUUUUAUAACAACAACUGAAAAUAUGCAGCAUUAGCUUAGCAGUUGGAAGAUGAGGCGCCUGGAAACUGCUGUCAGAGGCCACUAGCAUGGUUCUCCCUAGUGGGCAGCAGCAAACAUUUGGUCACACUGUCCCUUGUGAUAACUUGGGAGGCAGACCAUGUAUGUGAUUGACUGAUGGCUCUAAGAAAGAAUUGGAAAAUAAAUACUAGGAGUGUGUGUUGGCUGCAUGUGGCAGUAUAUUGUGUGAAAGCAAUGAGCUGGGAAAAAAUUGGUCAGUUUGUAGUCAGAAAUAAAAAAUAAAUGAAUAAAGAGAUUCCAGCAAUUGUUUGCAUAAUCAUAGUCAUAGAACAGGAGAUAUGUAGUUCUGGCAAAAACGGAAACCCUUUAUGGCAGCGCUGUCCGGAGCUGACUCUUUCUGUUGAGGAGUUACUGUUUAAAUGAAGUCCCCUGUGUCAGGAGGGCACGUCUCCAGGAUCAGUCAUCAGCAGAAUCAUGGAGUUCAUGUGAAAUCAGAACUAGGGUUCUUCAAGUUGGAAAGAGUCUUCAAGGAACUCCCUUGAUGAAUAAGGCUAAGAUAUAGGUUUAGGAUAUUUAAUGCUGAAGGGCUGAGGGGGCAAGAGCCUUGAGAAGAAAACACAAUUUGGAAGGAAAGGCAGGCUCCAUGGAUGGUACCCGAGGGAGAUUGGGACAGCCAGGAUUAUGCUGAGAAGAACUGUCAGGAGGGAGCAGAGAGGGACUUCUGACAUGAAUUUUCAGAAGUCAGGGAGCAGCACCAGGAUUCUCGAAUGUGUUUUCUAAGGUAGGAUGUAAGGGAAGGAGCAUAGGUUCGGGUCUUAGAAGCCAGCGCUUACAUUUCAUCUCUUCUCUUUACCAGCUGUGUGAAAUUCCCAAGUUAUGAAAACUCCCAGAACCUUAUUUUUCUCUUUAAAAAUGGGGGUAGCAGUAUCAUUUAGAGAGGUGCUCCUCCACAAAAGAACAUAAGUUCACAAGGAGAGGGGUUUGCUUGCUUUGUUCUUUGCUGCAUCCCUCGGACAGUGCCUAGCACUCAGGAAGUGCAAAAUAAAUAUUUGAAGGAAGGGAUUGUUGAGAGAAUUAAAUAGCAUGAUUUAUGUAAAGUACCUAGCAUGGAGACAGGCCCUGAGCAGACCCUGCAAAUGCCGGAGGCUCCCAACUGUCUCCCUGCCUCCACGUUAGCCCCCUGGAGUCCUCUCAGUCAAGCAUCCAGAGGUAUCUUUAAACAUAUAAUGAAUCAAGCCACUUCCCAGUUUAAAAGCCUACGGUGACCGCUCCCCACCCCCACCUACCCCGCCCAGAGGAAAAGUCAAAAUCCUUUCCACAUUUCGCAAAGCUUUGCACGACACCUCCCAGCCUCCAUCCACCGUCUCUCUGUCCUCUUGCUGACCCACUCCAGCCAUGCUGUCCUUCUGGUGGUCGCUGGACACGUCAAGCUCAGCCCUGCAUGGGGUCCUCUGCACCUGCUGUCCUUGUGGCUGGAACAUUCUUCCCUUGGUUGUCCCCAUGGCUAGCUCUUUCAGCUCCUUCAGCUCUCUGUUUAUGCUACUUCCUAGCACAAUCUUCUCUGGUGACCCCAACUAAAAUAGGGGGCCCCGUUCCCACCGCAGCAUCUCCCACCUCCUUUCCCUGCAUUAUUCUCCGCACAGCACUCCCCGUCACACUAUGCGUCUUGAUUGUUUCUUGCAUGUUAUCUAUCUAGACAGACUAGAAGAGAAGCAACGUGCGGGCAGGGACCUUUGUCUGUCUGUUCCCUGCUGUCUCUCCAGCACCUGGAACACUCCUGAGCUCAGAGGUGACACUCCACAAAUGUUUGUUGAGUGAAUAAUGGGAUGAAUGAAUGAAAGCAUACAUGCCAUGCCCCUGAGCCCCUGCAUAUGGUCCCCUCUCUGUCUGGGAUGCCACCAUCAUCUUCUCCUUCAAGGCCUAGCUCAGCAUUACCCUAUCUCUGCGGCACCUCCUCCUCUCCAUCCCACCCCAGCAGCAUUGUUUUUGGUUCCCCCAUCAUGCUUUACACAUACUUCUCUAAUAAUACUCACUACAUUCAAUUAUUGUCUGGUGUUUUUUUUCUUUUAAAAGAUGUACAUAAGCAGUACAUGAAUACAUUCACUUUAUUAAAUAUUCAAACAAUAUAGUAAGUGAAAGAUCUCCUCUAGGCUACUCUCAAAAUCUACCUUUCCUUUCCAGAAGUAAUCUUGUCUGGGAAUUUACAUACACAUACAUGGAUAAAAAAGUAAAGUUUUGUUUUGAGUGUGCAUGUGUGUGCUUUAUUAUACCUAUGUUCUGGCAUUUUCUAUGAUUUGCAUCUUUGACACAGAGUACUUUGUGUGAUUGUCUGUUUUGUACCUGUAUGCAUUUAAAUCACUUUAAAAAAUAAUUUAGCAUUGAAUUAGAUAGAAUGAAGGCAUGAAGAUUUAGUUGGCCAUUCCCCAUCUUAUGGGUAUUUAGAUGGUUCACAUUGCUGCAGCCAUGCCACAGUGAAAGUUCCUACACAGGUCUGUUAGAGCAUAUGUGUUUCUCCAGACUACAUACCUAGAAGGGAAAUAGAGGAUUUGAAAAGUGUGCAGAUUUUAACCUGUCAAUUCACCCUUUAAAAAGCCUGUAAAAAUUAUGCUUCUGUGAAGGUGGGAUAUUUUUAAUAUUUGCCUAUUUGCUGGGAGAAAAUGUCUCAUUCGAGUUUUGUUUUUCAUUUCCCUGAUUAUUGCUGAAGUUUACAUGUUUGUCUAUAUUUAUUAGAAUUUAGUUUCUCUUGUGACUCGUUUUUCCAUCUUCUUGGCCCGUUUUUCUUUUCUCUUGCUGUCACUAUCUUACGUGCCUGUUUGUUUUACUUGACUGUGAGCUCCUUCAGGUGGUCAUCACAUCUUAUUUAUCAAGGUUUCCCCUUCCAGAGCACACAGACAGUGCUUAAUGAAUGUAUAUCCAAUUGCAUUAUUGAAGCCAUAGGCAUUACCCUUUAUCAUGGUUAUCAUCAUUAUCAUCCUCCUCAUCACCGCCAGUACCAUUUAUUUAGUCUCACAGGAUGCUAAGCCCUGUCUCGGGAGGUGUGCGUAUAUAGUCUCUCAUCUUCCUAAUACCUCGCCCAACAAAGUGACUAUUGGUAGCUCUGUUUUACAGAUAAAGCAGUUGAGACUCAUGCAAGUUACACGGGCUGCCCAAGGACACUCAGCCGGAUUAUGAAGGGAGGGAUUAUGGAGCAGAGUCUUUUCAGCCUGGUUCCAAAGUAUGUGCAGUCUCCCUUAGAGCAAUUGGCCUCUUCCUGGCCACGCAUUAGAAUCACCUGAACAGGCUUUUAAAUGAUAGCUAUAUCCAGUCCUACCCCAGGCCAAUUGAUUCAGAAACUCUGGGACUAGGUCUGGGGAAGUGGUGUUAUAAAAAUCCCUACAUGAUUUUGAUGUGCAGAAAUGGUUGAAAACCUUUGGUCUACAUUGGGAGUGAACCAGCUUUUUUUGUAAAGUGCCAGAUAGUAAAUAUUUUAGACUUUGCCUGCCAUACAGUCUCUGUGGCAACUAUCCACCUUUGCUGUUGUAGGGUCAAAACAGCCAAAGACAAAAAUGAACGAACAUGACUGUGUUCCAAUUGAAACCCAUUUACAAAAACAAACGGCAGCCAAAUUUGGUCCAUGGGCUGUAGUUUGUGGACCCCUAGUCUAUAUCAUAAUACUUCGAAGAUCUUGGAAUUUCGGAUUGUCCCAGUCAAACCAGGACAUCUGGUCACAUUAAUUACCUUGCUAAGUCUCAAGGACAGUGGCAUGAGAAUCUUUGCCCCACCUCAACAGAUUCUGCUUCAGUAGGUUGGGGCCUGGGCAUCUGCAUUUCAACAAGGGAUGCAGCUGAUUCUGAUGUAAGCAGACUUCGUGGGUCCUUACUGCAAGAAUCACUGGGCUACCAAAGCAUAAUGUUCUUGGCAAGUAGCGAAAGCUUGGCUGGAGAAGCAGAACUGGUUCUUAUCCAACAAUUCUUUAAGCUCAUGGAUAGACAUUUUGUGCGUCCCUGCCUGCCUUAUGUUCCAGCAUCCUGCCUCCAAGGUUCUGGAACCUUGGGUGCCCCAGCAUCACAUCUUCCCAGUCUGCACGUUGGCAGAGAAGGAAGCCGUCCUGCCUCUUCAUCUCUGAAAUUAGUAGAAGACCAAAGUCCUUGUAUAUUUCAAAAUAUUGAAGAAGAAAGUGACUGUUUAACCACCUACGUGAUAAAACUGAUACUGGCAUUUAUCAGUCUGUGUGUGUGUGUGUGUGUGUGUGUGUGUGUGUGUGUGUGUUUUAAUAGUUCAGUAGUUAGAAAAUGGAGCCUCCAUUUUCCCGUCAUCCGCUUUGAAGCUAUGUAGUGGGUGAAUGCCAUCAUUUCUGUUUCCGACCUCUUUAGCAUCCAUUAUUUCUCUGUUGUCCACAUCUAAUAGUCUGGAUCCUUUUAGUUGUUGAUGGCGCAGCGAUUACUGGGGCUGCUGCUUUAGGAUGACUUCCAAAUGCAUCUGAACAGUUGAAUUUAUUUACUGCUUCCCUCCUGAAAGCUUUUUAGCAUGAUCCAGCUGGGGUGGUUUCAUCGGGAAAACCAUUAUUUGCGGCUCUCUUUUUUUGAGGGGUAGAAAUAAAUUUCCCAAAAGGUGAAAGUGGACGCUGUUCAUUGUGGAUCUGCAAUCUUACUUUUUCUUCUCUCUCCUUCUUACAUUCCAUUUGCACAGUUUUUCUCAGGAAUGACUUCUUUCUGGGGAAAUGGAAUGUUCUAAAUGGCACGAUUGAGUCAAAUCAAUGUUUAGAGUGGUUUGGACUUUUAAGCCUUUUGCUGGAUUUUGGCAGUAUCAUUUUAUACUGUAAAACCCCUUUUUUCCCAGGUAACCUAUAAUAUUCAUAUUGAACAUUAUUCACAGCUUUCUA